CUCUGUGAAUCGACGCCCCAGAACUGUACCCACCGCCUGUUCUUGUGGAAGCUCCCAGCGGGCGUGCGAACCGAAAAAACGUUCAGGUACAAAGAGGGAUGUCUCUGGUGGGACUUUUGUUCUGGUGGGACUACUUUUCUAAUAGUGAGCUUGCCUCAGCAGCACAGACCAAGAGUGUCCUUAUAAGGGGAGACCUCUUACCCUCAAACAUCUUUCCUUGCUGCCUGAAAUGCCACCAGACACAGAUUUAUUUGAACCACCAAGCAAAUGCCUAUGGAAGGCCUAAGAAUUGGAUCUUCCCACUUCCUUCCACAAAAUAAAACAUGAAAGGGACAAGGAGAACCCCAUAGGCAAGCAGAUGCUCCAUCAAAUAUUGUCAAUAGCUGGUGACAUAACACAG